rnacentral:lncRNA from 1 species
UGGUACCACACUGAUCACAAGAUAAGAUGUUUUUUAUUUUCUCGUCAUCAAAUAGGAACAUUUAAAGUGAAGCAAGUUGUUGAUAUCAUUGGUGCAGGACUAGAAAAAAAUAAUUUACAGGUUUUGAAGACAAAAUCUUUUCACCAAAUAUACCUGAGCUUGAUUGGUGUGUGCAAAUCUAAGCCAAAAAACAUUCUAUUCAAGAUUAAUCCUGGUAAGAUACUAAAAAGAUAAGUGCUACACGAUAAAACAUUUUUAGAAGUACACUUUUAACAUUUUUGGAAAGAUUUUUUCACUUACUAUUUAAGUUUUUAAAAAAAGUUAUUUCUCUUUGGGAGUUGAGAGAAUGCUCAAUUCUGUAAUGCAUACCCCAAAAAACUAUUAAUUGAUGG